rnacentral:rRNA from 1 species
UACGGAGGGUGCAAGCGUUGUCCGGGUUUAUUGGGUUUAAAGGGUGCGUAGGCGGCCCGUUAAGUCAGUGGUGAAAGCCUCCAGCUCAACUGGAGAACUGCCAUUGAUACUGACGGGCUUGAGUACAGACGAGGUUGGCGGAAUUGAUUGUGUAGCGGUGAAAUGCAUAGAUACAAUCAAGAACUCCGAUUACGUAGGCAGCUAACUAGGCUGUAACUGACGCUGAGGCACGAAAGCGUGGGGAGCGAACAGG